AUUGAACGCUGGCGGCAUGCCUUACACAUGCAAGUCGAACGGUAACGCGGGGCAACCUGGCGACGAGUGGCGAACGGGUGAGUAAUGUAUCGGAACGUGCCCAGUUGUGGGGGAUAACUGCUCGAAAGAGCAGCUAAUACCGCAUACGACCUGAGGGUGAAAGCGGGGGAUCGCAAGACCUCGCGCAAUUGGAGCGGCCGAUAUCAGAUUAGGUAGUUGGUGGGGUAAAGGCCCACCAAGCCAACGAUCUGGAGCUGGUCUGAGAGGACGACCAGCCACACUGGGACUGAGAAACGGCCCAGACUCCUACGGGAGGCAGCAGUGGGGAAUUUUGGACAAUGGACGCAAGUCUGAUCCAGCCAUGCCGCGUGCGGGAAGAAGGCCUUCGGGUUGUAAACCGCUUUUGUCAGGGAAGAAAAGGGCGACUCUAAUACAGUUGCCUCAUGACGGUACCUGAAGAAUAAGCACCGGCUAACUACGUGCCAGCAGCCGCGGUAAAAC
rnacentral:rRNA from 1 species